rnacentral:misc_RNA from 1 species
UUUCCGUAGGUAAGUUAUCACAGAAUCUCUCAUUCUUCAUGGAAACAGUGGCUAACAUCUCUUCCAGGUGAACCUGCGGAAGGAUCAUUACAGUGUUAAGGCUUCGGCCUCAUUCACACCCUUGUUGAACCUCUGGUUUCUUUGGCGAUGUCAUGGACUCGUCAGACUUUUAACUCUGAUAAUGCGAUACUGUCCGAGUGAGAUUGAAUUCUUAAAACUUUCAACAACGGAUCUCUUGGUUCCA